rnacentral:rRNA from 1 species
GAUUAAGCCAUGCAUGUCUCAGUACAGCCUCGACAAAGUGAAACCGCAAACAGCUCAUUAAAUCAGUUAUAACUUCCUUGCUCUCGAGUUCCUAAAUGGAUAACUGUGGUAAAUCUAGAGCUAAUACAUGCAACCUGGCAAGCUUUCGAGCGAGUCGCAUUUUAUUAGACCCAGAUCAUAGGGCGCUUUCGGGCGUCUACACAUCAGAGGUGAAUCUAGAUAAUAUUCAGCUAUCAUUUAAGUCCUCUUCGGAGCGACGGUGAAGUGUAAUUCAGGCUUCUGCCUUAUCAACUUUUGUUGGUAGGCGACGGGACUACCAAGGUGGUCACGAGUAACGGGGAAUAUGGGUUUUAUUCCGGAGAAGGAGCCUGAGAAACGGCUACUACAUCUAAGGGUGGCAGCAGGCGCGCAAUUUGCCCAAUUUUAGAUGUAGGAGGCAGUGACGAGACAUAAACAUUGAAGAGCGUGGCUUCUGUCGCGUUUCUUCAAAUACAUUGUGAUUGAGCACAAUUUAAAUGCUUUGGCGAUAAUCUAUUGGAGGGCAAGUCUGGUGCCAGCAGCCGCGGUAAUUCCAGCUCCAAUAGCGUAUAUUAAUAUUGUUGCGGUUAAAAAGCUCAUAGUUUAAACUUGAAUCGCACUUGCUUUGCGCUCCAGACAUUAGUUUGGUUCUAUAUGUGCGGGUAAUGGUGCGAUUCAUAACCGGCGUUUGCUAAGUGCAUUGUGAUGUGCUUGUGCAGCGCCAACGAUUACUUUGACUAAAUCAGAGUGAUCAAGACAGGCUCGUUUUCAACGGCCUUGAGUGCUCUAGCAUGGAAUAAUAGAAAAGGACUCGUUUGGGUCCGGUGAAGUGUUUUCUUCACAGAACUAUGGUCUUCGGCACCUCGAGUAAUGAUUAAAAGGGAUUGACGGGGGCAGUCGUAUUGCUGGGCUAGCGGUGAAAUGCAAUGACCCUGGUAAGACGUCCUAAAGCGAAAGCAUCUGCCUAGGAUGUUUUCAUUAAUCAAGAGCGAAAGUUAGAGGUGCGAAGGCGAUUAGAUACCGCCCUAGUUCUAACCAUAAACGAUGCCAACCAGCAAUCAGUCUGAGAAUUCAAGUUUUUAAAUUACUUAUGUAAUCUUGAAUUAGACUGGUUCUCCCGGAGAAAUCAGAGUGAUUAGGCUCCGGGGGAAGUAUGGUUGCAAGGCUGAAACUUAAAGGAAUUGACGGAGGGGCACCACAAGGAGUGGAGCUUGCGGCUUAAUUUGACUCAACACGGGAAAACUUACCUGGAUAAUACACUAUGAUGAUUGACAGGCUAGAGACCUUUCUUGAUUUAGUGAAUAGUGGUGCAUGGCCGUUAUUAGUUCGUGGGGUGACUUGUCAGGUUGAUUCCGACAAACGAACAAGACUCUAGCCUGUUAAUUAUAUCUCAUUGCUUGUUACUUCGGUGACAAGUGAUGUUUUCCUUAGAGGGAUUAAUGACGUUUUUUUUUUUAUAAUGUAGUCAUAGAGAGAUGGAGAACAAUAACAGGUCUGUAUGCCCUUUGAUAUCUUGGGCCGCACGCGAGCUACAUUGAAGGAGGCAACAAGUGCUUUUGUUUUCUGCUCCGAAAGGAGUCGGGUAAACUUUGAAUUUCCUUCACCUCUGGGAUUGAGCUUUGUAAUCUUAGUUCAUGAACGAGGAAUUCCUUGUAAAUGUGAGUCAUUAGCUUGCGUUGAAUGCGUCCCUGCCCCUUGUACACACCGCCCGUCGCUACUACCGAUGAAGUGCUUAGCAAGAACAAUGGACGGCUGGAUGCAGGCCCGCGUUUCGGCGUGUGGAAGCAUCAAGGCUGAAAGUUGUUCAAGCUUGUCACUUAGAGGAAGUAAAAGUCGUAA